GGCUCCCCGAGCGCAGCUGGAGUGGGGGACGGGUAGGCUCGUCCCAAAGGCGCGGCGCUGAGGUACUCCAAAGAUUCAGGUUUACACACGUCAUCCAGCAGAGAAUGGAAAGUCAAAUUUCCUGAAUUGCUAUGUGUCUGGGUUUCAUCCAUCUGACAUUGAAGUUGACUUACUGAAGAAUGGAGUGAAAAUUGAAAAAGUGGAGCAUUCAGACUUGUCUUUCAGCAAGGACUGGUCUUUCUAUCUCUUGUACUACACUGAAUUCACCCCCACUGAAAAAGAUGAGUAUGCCUGCCGUGUGAACCAUGUGACUUUGUCACAGCCCAAGACAGUUAAGUGGGAUCGAGACAUGUAAGCAGCAUCAUGGAGGUAAGUUUUUGACCUUAAGAAAAUGUUUUUGUUUCACUGUCCUGAGGACUAUUUAUAGACAGCUCCAACAUGAUAACCCUCACUAUGUGGAGAACAUUGACAGAAUAGCAUUUUAGCAGGCAAAGAAGAAUCCUACAGGGUCACAUUCCCUUCUCCUGGGGAGUGGCAUGAAGAAGGUGUAUGGCCCCAGGUAUGGCUAUAUU
rnacentral:sRNA from 1 species